rnacentral:rRNA from 1 species
AUUGAACGCUGGCGGCAUGCCUUACACAUGCAAGUCGAACGGCAGCAUGGAGAGCUUGCUCUCUGAUGGCGAGUGGCGAACGGGUGAGUAAUGCAUCGGAACGUACCGUGUAAUGGGGGAUAACGUAGCGAAAGUUAAGCUAAUACCGCAUACGACCUGAGGGUGAAAGCAGGGGAUCGCAAGACCUUGCGUUAUACGAGCGGCCGAUGUCAGAUUAGCUAGUUGGUGAGGUAAAGGCUCACCAAGGCGACGAUCUGUAGCGGGUCUGAGAGGAUGAUCCGGCACACUGGGACUGGGACACGGCCCAGACUCCGACGGGAGGCAGCAGUGGGGAAUUUUGAACAAUGGGGCAACCCUGAUCCAGCCAUGCCGCGUGAGUGAAGAAGGCCUUCGGGUUGUAAAGCUCUUUCGGCCGGGAAGAAAUCGCACAGGCUAAUACUCUGUGUGGAUGACGGUACCGGCAUAAGAAGCACCGGCUAACUACGUGCCAGCCGCCGCAGUAA